CCUACGGGAGGCAGCAGUGGGGAAUAUUGGACAAUGGGCGAAAGCCUGAUCCAGCAAUGCCGCGUGAGUGAUGAAGGCCUUCGGGUCGUAAAGCUCUUUUACCAGGGAUGAUAAUGACAGUACCUGGAGAAUAAGCUCCGGCUAACUCCGUGCCAGCAGCCGCGGUAAUACGGAGGGAGCUAGCGUUGUUCGGAAUUACUGGGCGUAAAGAGUACGUAGGCGGUUAUUCAAGUCAGAGGUGAAAGCCCGGGGCUCAACCCCGGAACUGCCUUUGAAACUAGAUAGCUAGAGUCUUGGAGAGGUUAGUGGAGUUCCGAGUGUAGAGGUGAAAUUCGUAGAUAUUCGGAAGAACACCAGUGGCGAAGGCGACUAACUGGACAAGUACUGACGCUGAGGUACGAAAGCGUGGGGAGCAAACAGGAUUAGAUACCCUGGUAGUCCACGCCGUAAACGAUGAUAACUAGUUGUUCGGUCACUUGGUGACUGAGUGACGCAGCUAACGCAUUAAGUUAUCCGCCUGGGGAGUACGGUCGCAAGAUUAAAACUCAAAGGAAUUGACGG
rnacentral:rRNA from 1 species